rnacentral:lncRNA from 1 species
UGCCGUUUGUGUAGUAGAGGUUUGGUGGAAUUGAAAUUUUGUGGUGGUUGGACGAGGAUUAGUGGGUCAGAUUUUGUGGGAUUUGGUUGAUAGUAAAGGUAGUGGGGAGUUGAGAGUAUUAUAUUGAAAUUUAUUUUAUUUUUAUUUUUAUUUAAUUUGUUUUCCAAAAUUUCUUCUUUUCCCCACAUUUUAUUUUUCUGUAAAUUUCCCUCUAACAUUAUUUUUUUAGUCCCUUCCUUUUUUACUUUCUUCAAUUCUGACAUCUUUUUACUCGAUUGGAUCACUUUGG